rnacentral:rRNA from 1 species
CCUACGGGUGGCAGCAGUGGGGAAUAUUGCACAAUGGGGGAAACCCUGAUGCAGCGACGCCGCGUGAGUGAAGAAGGAAUUCGUGAUGUAAAGCUCUAUCAGCAGGGAAGAAAAUGACGGUACCUGAGUAAGAAGCCCCGGCUAACUACGUGCCAGCAGCCGCGGUGAUACGUAGGGGGCAAGCGUUAUCCGGAUUUACUGGGUGUAAAGGGAGCGUAGACGGCAGGGCCAGGCUGGAGUGAAAGGCGGGGGGCUCAACCCCCGGACUGCUCUGGAAACUGUACGGCUGGAGUGCAGGAGAGGUAAGUGGAAUUCCUAGUGUAGCGGUGAAAUGCGUAGAUAUUAGGAGGAACACCAGUGGCGAAGGCGGCUUACUGGACUGUAACUGACGUUGAGGCUCGAAAGCGUGGGGAGCAAACAGGAUUAGAUACCCUUGUAGUC